UACAGAGGUCUCAAGCGUUGUUCGGAUUCAUUGGGCGUAAAGGGUGCGUAGGCGGCGCGGUAAGUCGGGUGUGAAAUCUUGGAGCUUAACUCCGAAACUGCAUUCGAUACUGCCGUGCUUGAGGACUGGAGAGGAGACUGGAAUUUACGGUGUAGCGGUGAAAUGCGUAGAUAUCGUAAGGAAGACCAGUGGCGAAGGCGGGUCUCUGG
rnacentral:rRNA from 1 species